rnacentral:tRNA from 1 species
GCGCAAUUGGUCUAGUGGUAUGAUUCUCGCUUAGGGAUAACUCUAAGUAAUGUGCGAGAGGCCCCAGGUUCGAACCCUGGAUUGCGCC